AACGAACGCUGGCGGCAUGCCUAACACAUGCAAGUCGAACGAGACCUUCGGGUCUAGUGGCGCACGGGUGCGUAACGCGUGGGAAUCUGCCCCUUGGUUCGGAACAACAGUUAGAAAUGACUGCUAAUACCGGAUGAUGACUUCGGUCCAAAGAUUUAUCGCCAAGGGAUGAGCCCGCGUAGGAUUAGGUAGUUGGUGGGGUAAAGGCUCACCAAGCCGACGAUCCUUAGCUGGUCUGAGAGGAUGAUCAGCCACACUGGGACUGAGACACGGCCCAGACUCCUACGGGAGGCAGCAGUGGGGAAUAUUGGACAAUGGGCGAAAGCCUGAUCCAGCAAUGCCGCGUGAGUGAUGAAGGCCUUAGGGUUGUAAAGCUCUUUUACCAGGGACGAUAAUGACAGUACCUGGAGAAUAAGCUCCGGCUAACUCCGUGCCAGCAGCCGCCGUAAUAC
rnacentral:rRNA from 1 species